rnacentral:lncRNA from 1 species
GUCAACUAUGAUGAAGUUUUUGUAAGCAUUGGGUUCCUCUUUGUUAAGUUAGUGCAAGUCUCUCAUACUGCUCACAUGUGGUCGGCGUGUCAGCCACUGCUUCACUUAGAUUUCUCGGCGCCCGUUGCUGUUUACACCUGCUUGUUCGUCUUCUUUUCACUCUCCAAGCUUUGUUACAGCUAUUUACCUGUCUCUCUGAGCUCUUACCAACUUGGCCACAAAUCCAAUUGCUUUAUUUCUAUAUAGAUAUUUUAAAUGUAUGAUUUUAUUCGGACCUUCUACUGAAUAUAACCAAAUAUACGGAAAAUGUGUCCAUAGGACACUGAUAAUACCCCAGCUAGCAUAUAUAACAUUAUAAAGGGUCAUUACUCAAGAACGGCCACCCAAAUUUGCAUUUGAACUGUGUUUUAUGGAAAUAAACAUUGUGUAUACGGCGUUUCAUAAAAUUUAGUUGAGGCAAAAAACAAUUAGAGAACGGGAACUAAUAUUGUUGGGACGUACGCACAUACGUACAUACGGACAAGGGUAACACGUAAUGCUCACUCCGAAGCGUCGAGGAAUAUAAGUUUCGUACGUUUUUAUACUAAAAUUGUGCAUACUCGACCAAUUCUCGAUUAUCCCUACGACCCAUAUACGAUCAGGUCGAUCUGGUAUGGUCGAGAUCAG